GUCUCCUUGGCUCAGUUGGUUAAAGCGUUGGUCUCAUAAUAUUGAGUGGGUACUACCCACCGAUCCAAGGUAUCCAAAGGUCGGGAGUUCGACUCUCCCAGGGGACA